AGUAGAGCCAGAGAGAAAUUUGCCCUGGGCCGGAUAUUCAUGAAGGCUUUCCACUUCAGACUCGAUAUCAUCGCCAAGUCAGUGUGUUUGGGAGAAAUCAGAAGCCAACACACUAGAAAACUUGCAGGAAAUUCCUAGGGGAACCCACAAAGUCAGUUCCUUGCUGGAAACAUAUUCAUCCUCCAGAUGAAUCCAGUGCAUUAGAUGGGCUCAGAUGCACAGGUGAUGCAGGCGGACCCCUACUGAAAAGAACAACAGUGGAAGGCAGAUGAAACUCAGAUUGUGGAGUCCGAGAGCCAUGUGGGCCCACUCCAGUUACCUCUACCCCUGGUCCAUGACCAGAGAAUCCUUCAGCAGCAACAGCAGGGAUGUUUAUUUCACUGGUAUGUAUAAAGCGACUGAUUGAAAACAACUUGUAUGCCCAACAACUUGGAACUAGAUAAAUGAUUUUUGGUUCAGUCACACAGUGGAAUAUCAUGCGGCCAUUUAGAGUAAAUAAAAAAUCGUAUACUUUCCAUAUUCAACUUUAAACUGAAAAUAACUGAACAAACAAACACCUUCAUAAUUAGGCUCCCUGAGAUUGGAACAUGAAGUAAAAUCAACAUGUGUCAGAAUGUUAACAACAGCUAACUCUUGGUUGUGAUAUUCUGAGUAACUUGUAUUAUUUUUCAGUUUUUUCCCCCAUUCCUAAUGUGCAAAUGUACUAUUUUUAUUGUAAAAAAUACACAUUUGUAAAGAGCAAUAACAUAAAUCUCUGCACAGGCAGAUUGGAAGGAAAUCAGACAAAACGAUACCUUUUGGUAGUGGAAUUAUAAAUCAUUUUUUUCUUCAUUAGAGUUUCUGAAUGUUCUGCAUUUGAAAUGUUUACCUUUAUGAAGGGUCAAUCAUAUGUAAGAUGAUUUUUUAAAAGACAAGUAGACAGGGAAAGAGAGGUCUGCUGUUGCAAAACCAAAGCUGGAGGCUCUCCAAAGCCCACUUAUGUCAGUCAAUUGAUAUUUCAUGAACCUCUAGAAUGUACAAAUCACUUUCCACUGGGAUUGAGGGGGUGAGAAAUACAGAGAUGAAGGAGAUGCAAACACUUUAAUCAAAGAAAUCACAGUCCAGUUGGGAAAAGAAGGUUUUGCAUUAUAUAAGUAGCAAAGUCUUAUCUGAGAGGUUAGUCUGUCAAGAGUAAUAGCAAUAAUUACACAACAAUAUGUCAGAGUGGCUGGGAGCUCCAGCUUCAAAGCUACCUCGCCUGGGGGGAAACUCGUUUCCAUUUCUUAACCAUAUUGGGCCUGAGCCUCAGUUACCCACCUCUUCUGUAAAUGUAAACUACCUCUUGGGGUCAUUGUGAGGAUUAAAUGAAGCUUGAGCCUAAAGGGGCUGAGCUAGGUGCUUUGCAAAUAGUCCAACCUCAGCAUGAGGCACGUUAUCAUCUUUAUGGCUCUGGUGUUUGUGGUCACCUAUCUGCAAGUCACGCUUUCACAGAUAUGCCAGAGCUGGGAUUGGAAACCACAUUAAUCUAAUUCCAAAGCCAAUGAUUCUACCACAACCAGACACUGCAUUUACUCUCUCUGCCUAACUGAAAUUUGUUCUAAACCUCACCCUAAGGUCUUGCCAGAAAGAAAAGCUAAAUUUUCAUUAAAAGAUGAAAGGAGAAAUGAA